rnacentral:rRNA from 1 species
CAGCAGCCGCGGGAACACGAAGGGGGCUAGCGUUGCUCGGAAUGACUGGGCGUAAAGCGUGCGUAGGCGGCUUCUUAAGUCGGAUGUGAAAUCCCUGAGCUUAACUUAGGAAUUGCAUUCGAUACUGGGAAGCUAGAGUAUGGGAGAGGAUGGUAGAAUUCCAGGUGUAGCGGUGAAAUGCGUAGAGAUCUGGAGGAAUACCGAUGGCGAAGGCAGCCAUCUGGCCUAAUACUGACGCUGAGGUACGAAAGCAUGGGGAGCAAACAGGAUUAGAUACCCCAGUAGUCCCUGUCUCUUAUAC